UACGGGGGGGGCAAGCGUUGUUCGGAAUUACUGGGCGUAAAGGGCUCGUAGGCGGCCAACUAAGUCAGAUGUGAAAUCCCCGGGCUCAACCUGGGAACUGCAUUUGUGACUGCACGGCUGGAGUGCGGCAGAGGGGGAUGGAAUUCCGCGUGUAGCAGUGAAAUGCGUAGAUAUGCGGAGGAACACCGAUGGCGAAGGCAAUCCCCUGGGCCUGCACUGACGCUCAUGCACGAAAGCGUGGGGAGCAAACAGG
rnacentral:rRNA from 1 species